GGUGGCUCAAUGGUAAGAGUGCUUGCCUUGCAUGCCUGAGGCCCUGGGUUUGAUUCCCAACACCA
rnacentral:tRNA from 1 species